rnacentral:rRNA from 1 species
GAUGAACGCUGGCGGCGUGCCUAAUACAUGCGAGUCGAGCGAACGGACGAGACGCUUGCUUCUCGGAUGAUUGCGGCGGACGGGUGAGUAACACGUGGAUAACCUACUUAUAAGACUGGGAUAACUUCGGGAAACCGGAUCUAAUACCGGAUAAGAUUUUGAACCGCAUGGUUCAAAAGUGAAAGACGGUCUUGCUGUCACUUAUAGAUGGAUCCGCGCUGCAUUAGCUAGUUGGUAAGGUAACGGCUUACCAAGGCAACGAUGCAUAGCCGACAUGAGAGAGUGGUAGGCGACCCUAGAACGGAGACACGGACAAGAAUACUACGGGACGGACCAGACGGCAACCUGCCGCAGUAGGGGAAAACCUGACGGAACAACGGGGAGUGAGUUACGAAGACCUCGGGUUCGUAAUACUCUCUUACGGGGUAAAAACAGAUGUCGCAUUUACUGUGGACAUAUUGACGGUAACUAAUCAGAAAGCAACGGCUAACUACGUG